AUUGAACGCUGGCGGCAUGCCUUACACAUGCAAGUCGAACGGUAACGCGGGGCAACCUGGCGACGAGUGGCGAACGGGUGAGUAAUGCAUCGGAACGUGCCCAGUAGUGGGGGAUAGCCCGGCGAAAGCCGGAUUAAUACCGCAUACGACCUACGGGUGAAAGGGGGGGAUCGCAAGACCUCUCGCUAUUGGAGCGGCCGAUGUCAGAUUAGGUAGUUGGUGGGGUAAAGGCCUACCAAGCCGACGAUCUGUAGCUGGUCUGAGAGGACGACCAGCCACACUGGGACUGAGACACGGCCCAGACUCCUACGGGAGGCAGCAGUGGGGAAUUUUGGACACUGGGCGAAAGCCUGAUCCAGCAAUGCCGCGUGCAGGAAGAAGGCCUUCGGGUUGUAAACUGCUUUUGUACGGAGCGAAAAGGUCUCCUCUAAUACAGGGGGCUCAUGACGGUACCGUAAGAAUAAGCACCGGCUAACUACGUGCCAGCCGCCGCAGUAA
rnacentral:rRNA from 1 species